rnacentral:rRNA from 1 species
AGACCCGAAACCCGGUGAUCUAGCCAUGGGCAGGUUGAAGGUUGGGUAACACUAACUGGAGGACCGAACCGACUAAUGUUGAAAAAUUAGCGGAUGACCUGUGGCUGGGGGUGAAAGGCCAAUCAAACCGGGAGAUAGCUGGUUCUCCCCGAAAGCUAUUUAGGUAGCGCCUCGUGAAUUCAUCUCCGGGGGUAGAGCACUGUUUCGGCUAGGGGGCCAUCCCGGCUUACCAACCCGAUGCAAACUGCGAAUACCGGAGAAUGUUAUCACGGGAGACACACGGCGGGUGCUAACGUCCGUCGUGAAGAGGGAAACAACCCAGACCGCCAGCUAAGGUCCCAAAGUCAUGGUUAAGUGGGAAACGAUGUGGGAAGGCCCAGACAGCCAGGAUGUUGGCUUAGAAGCAGCCAUCAUUUAAAGAAAGCGUAAUAGCUCACUGGUCGAGUCGGCCUGCGCGGAAGAUGUAACGGGGCUAAACCAUGCACCGAAGCUGCGGCAGCGACACUCAGGUGUUGUUGGGUAGGGGAGCGUUCUGUAAGCCUGUGAAGGUGGCCUGUGAGGGUUGCUGGAGGUAUCAGAAGUGCGAAUGCUGACAUAAGUAACGAUAAAGCGGGUGAAAAGCCCGCUCGCCGGAAGACCAAGGGUUCCUGUCCAACGUUAAUCGGGGCAGGGUGAGUCGACCCCUAAGGCGAGGCCGAAAGGCGUAGUCGAUGGGAAACGGGUUAAUAUUCCCGUACUUGGUGUUACUGCGAAGGGGGGACGGAGAAGGCUAUGUUGGCCGGGCGACGGUUGUCCCGGUUUAAGCGUGUAGGUGUGUGUUCCAGGUAAAUCCGGUUCACUUUAACACUGAGGCGUGACGACGAGGCGCUACGGUGCUGAAGCAACAAAUGCCCUGCUUCCAGGAAAAGCCUCUAAGCAUCAGGUAACAUCAAAUCGUACCCCAAACCGACACAGGUGGUCAGGUAGAGAAUACCAAGGCGCUUGAGAGAACUCGGGUGAAGGAACUAGGCAAAAUGGUGCCGUAACUUCGGGAGAAGGCACGCUGACAUGUAGGUGAAGUGAUUUACUCAUGGAGCUGAAGUCAGUCGAAGAUACCAGCUGGCUGCAACUGUUUAUUAAAAACACAGCACUGUGCAAACACGAAAGUGGACGUAUACGGUGUGACGCCUGCCCGGUGCCGGAAGGUUAAUUGAUGGGGUCAGCGCAAGCGAAGCUCCUGAUCGAAGCCCCGGUAAACGGCGGCCGUAACUAUAACGGUCCUAAGGUAGCGAAAUUCCUUGUCGGGUAAGUUCCGACCUGCACGAAUGGCGUAAUGAUGGCCAGGCUGUCUCCACCCGAGACUCAGUGAAAUUGAACUCGCUGUGAAGAUGCAGUGUACCCGCGGCAAGACGGAAAGACCCCGUGAACCUUUACUAUAGCUUGACACUGAACAUUGAGCCUUGAUGUGUAGGAUAGGUGGGAGGCUUUGAAGUGUGGACGCCAGUCUGCAUGGAGCCGACCUUGAAAUACCACCCUUUAAUGUUUGAUGUUCUAACGUGGACCCGUAAUCCGGGUUGCGGACAGUGUCUGGUGGGUAGUUUGACUGGGGCGGUCUCCUCCUAAAGAGUAACGGAGGAGCACGAAGGUUGGCU